GUCUAGUUUAUUGUAAGAUAAUAUAUAAUAAAUAAUAUAUAAUUCUAGAGGGCGCUGCAAUACUCUGGAGCCAUUUAAGACAUCAGGAUUUUUAACCUUUUCAAAAAUCGUCAUACGAGCUUGGGAGGUGAUUAACAAGAGAAAAUUUAUCGAGAAUGUCUUGCCAAAUUAGCGAAUUUCAAGGAAACCAAAGCAGCCUAAUACUGAGCACUUUAACUCGCUAAUUUAAUAGAUUUGAACAUUACCUGCCAUGGAAUGUCGAAGCUCAAUUUUAUAUUUAUGUGUGCUUAAAUAGAAUUAUGCACUAAUAUUUAUAAAAUCUACGAUUAUUACAAAACAGCUUAAAGCUGAUUAAAAAGUCUGGCUUUGAAAAGUGCAAAAACAACAAAGGCAGGUGUGUUCAAUUUUCUAGGAUUACCCAUUCUUUGCAAGAGAUACAACUUUUCAUAAUUUGUCUUCUAUUUUUAAGGCAUAUUUAAUUAAAUCUAAGGUAUCAAGUUUUAAAUCUAUAGGGAAUAAUUACUAGGAGGAACAGCGGCAAUCUAGAAGCUUUUAGAAUGAUUAAUUUUCCUCAAAAUAAAAGAUAUUAUAAAUCCAAACCACAAAGUUAGCAAGGCAACGUAAGAAUUACAUAAUGCACAAAGAUGGUUUUUUUGAAACCUUCUGUUUCGUAGUGUCAUUUGCCUUUCUUUCAUUGUCCUGUAAAUUCUUCUAGAGGCUUGUAAAAUGAAGCUGUUAGUAUUAAGUAACUCGAUUAUUGAAAAAGGGGACGCUAGUUAUAAACCCUGUAACUAAUUGGUCAGCGAAGUAAAUGCUUAGUUGCACCAAUUCAGCAGUUUUAGUUUAUAAGUACCAAUUGUAAUCUUAGCGUAAGUUCAGUUAUAAGUUAUCAGUUGUCACAAGUAUACUAUUACUGUAACUCGUCGUUCUGAAAAUAAAUCUUUUUAAAAGGC